GAUCAACGCUGGCGGCGUGCCUAAUGCAUGCAAGUCGAACGGGGUGGCCUUCGGGCCGCUUACAUGGCGGACGGGUGAGGAACACGUGGGCAACCUGCCCAAUGGUGGGGGAUAACCGCUGGAAACAGUGGGUAAUACCGCAUGAGCUCAUUGACCGAGUGGGGUUGGUGAGGAAAGCCUUCGGGCGCCGAUGGAGGGGCCUGCGUCCGAUUAGCUAGACGGUGGGGUAACGGCCUACCGUGGCGAUGAUCGGUAGCUGGUUUGAGAGGAUGAUCAGCCACACGGGGACUGAGACACGGCCCCGACUCCUACGGGAGGCAGCAGCAAGGAAUUUUCCGCAAUGGGCGCAAGCCUGACGGAGCAACGCCGCGUGUGGGAUGACGCUUUUCGGAGUGUAAACCACUGUUCAUGGGGACGAAGCACUGACGGUACCCAUGGAGGAAGGCCCGGCUAACUACGUGCCAGCAGCCGCGGUAA
rnacentral:rRNA from 1 species